AUUGUCUCCUCCACAGACAUCUAUGGGGGUCUGAUCCAAGCAGGGCUGUGGUCAUUGCUCCCUGGACACUGCAUUGCAUAUGAGAUAGAGGGUCUGCUAAGCCAGCUGCUGAAGGAAGACUUUAUUUCCCAGGGGAAAUUCUAGCACAUCUGGGGCACUGUGGUCCUCACACUUGGUUUGGAUUCUCUUCCUGAUGACGGACGUCUGCUUUCUGGCAAGGAUGAAGACGCCAAGGCAAUGACACCUGACAGUCAUAUAGCUGAUAAGGAACAGCGCCAGGACCCAGAGCCAGGCAGUGUGACUGAGCAAGAGUCUGUGCUUUUAACGACUAGGUUUUGCUAGCCCAAAGCACAUACUUGAUACACGUUGCUGAGAAGCAUGAGGCACUACAAUUGGACUUGAUGAAGGGAAAUAAAUAUCAUACAGAGAGUUGUUCAGGACAUUGCGAGAAUCAUGCCACUGAAUGCUGGUGGGGCAGCCUCUGACUGGGGAGGGGUGACCACAGAUGGGAGAGAUACAUUAUGGUAAGCAGUGGUUUCCAUUGUAUGCUCUGAGCAGCCAAGCACUACCCUGUUCUCCUUUCCCUAUCCAUUGAAAGCAGACUCUAUCUUCUUGCCCAGAAAGAUGAGAAAGUAUCCCCACCUGCACUGAUCAUAGGAAUUAGGUACUCUGCUUCUAUCAAAAUCCCUCAGUGGAACUGGGAAAGUUAAAACUUUUUUUUUUUUCUCCUUGGUCACUAAACUGGAAUGAAGUUUAUUCAGAGCUGCUGUUGAUCACUGAUUCCUCAUUUAACCACUUUCCAAUCCCA
rnacentral:lncRNA from 1 species